rnacentral:piRNA from 1 species
UGACUUCUGACCAGUCUCAUCUGAACCCACAA